CCCCCAUGUUAAUAUCAUCCAAGGUGUAAUUUUCAUAGAAUUUUCAUUUUUUUAAUUAAAGCCCAAAGUCAAUUCUUAAAAAGCCAUAGUCUACAUCUCUGUGUAACGUCCCUUUCUCUUCCUGCAGUUCAUACAAAAGGUCAAAAAAACCCUGGACACCCCACACCCAUAUUUCCGUUUCCUCUUCGUCUUCUUCUUCGUUCCCUCUGUAUCUUACUUUCCCUUUCCUCUUCUCUUUUCUAUUUCAUUUCGAGGUAUGGUUCAAAAACCCAAAAUAACCCUUUUGCAUCUUACUUUCUCUCUGAAAUACAUUUCAUACAGUUCCAUCUUUACAUAAAACUCCAAAUCUUAUUCAAGAAACACAAAUCCUACGGCCGCUUAUCAUACUUUAUUCGUUCUUCUUCUUCUAUACACAACUUUCAAACUUCACAAACCCUAACCCCCUUUAAUAAUCACCACCGCCAAGAUCUUUCAUUUGCGUUGAUUACGUCCAUUCACUUAGAUUCAGCGAUUUCUAUAUUCUCUCCAUUCAACGAUCUCUUCUUCAUCAAUCCUCUCUGGAUACUCAACAAUUAAGAUCCAGAGUGACGCUGUUUUGGAAACAGUUAAUGUUCAAGGUGGAGAUUGAUUCAUCAUCUAAAGCCGAUGCACCUAUUCUGUCACCGGAAGAUUGUAUAACCCAGUCAUCUCUAUAGGUAUUGAGAUGCCAUUGAAGAUGUAUUGAGAAACUUAAUGUAGACAACCUCAACUGUCAAAACGGACUAUGUUUCACAAAGAGUCAGGUCAAUCAUUAUCAAGGACUGGAUUCUUAAGACAACCAAUUUUCACUCAUGGGCAGCUAUACGUGGCACUUUGAAGAGUUAAGAGCAUGAACAAGUUAAAACUUUUAAUCUUAGAUACUGAUAAAAAAUACUAAUAAAAACUUCCAAUGUUGU